rnacentral:lncRNA from 1 species
GUCCAUCUUUGAACACUGUGUUACUGCCACACACUGGUUCUCCUUUUUGUUCCUGUUCCUUGUAUUUAUGUCCCUUCGUCUGGUUAACAGGCCUCAGCUGCCCAGACUUUCAGGCUGGUGGACCCAGUUCAGUGGGUUGGUCCAGAAUUCCUUUCCCCAUGCAUCCUGGGCGUGUGAGGAGAGGAUGCCGGACUCUUACAAUCACUCAUCACCCCGCAGAGGCCCGCACAGAGACUGCUAAAGCCUUGGGGCCUGAACACAUCCUUUCCUCCAUCAAAUUUAGCAAAUGUGAGCUGCAACCUCAUGUAAGCCGCAUCCCCAUCAGGAGGGUGGGGUCGACUGAAAGCCCUCCUGCACAUGACAGUACAACAUCUCCUAGCAGCAUUAACCCAGUUCCAUCAGGAGAUAAGGAGGUGUCAGCCACCAUGAAGGUCUGGAAGCUGCUUAGACCUGGCCUCCAUCGACACCUGUCACUGUCAGGCAUGUAUACAUACACUUACACAUGUUGCUGUGCUAUUGACUGUUUGGUCUAGAGACAAUUACCUGACUAAUGCUUGCACCAGUCAAAAUAGGUUAAGUGACAUUCAGGGUUUAGCUAAUUUGUCGGUUUGCAAAUUUGACGGUCGGUAUAACACUUUGGACCAGGUUUUAGUGAGACGGUGAAACUGCUUCCCGUUUCCAUACUUGUAGCUCUCAAUAUGGCUUUAGUAUAUAUUCCCAUACAAGUG